rnacentral:rRNA from 1 species
GACGAACGCUGGCGGCGUGCCUAACACAUGCAAGUCGGACGGAUCAGGUAUGACAGCUUGCUGUAGUGCCUGGUUAGUGGCGGACGGGUGAGUAACGCGUGAGGACCUACCCUGGAGAGGGGGAUAACGGCUGGAAACGGCUGCUAAUACCCCGUAAGCCGGAGGGUGAAAGGGAGCGAUCUGCUCCGGGGCGGCCUUGCGUCCUAUCAGCUAGUUGGUGGGGUAAUGGCCUACCAAGGCGAAGACGGGUAGCCGGCCUGAGAGGGCGACCGGCCACACUGGAACUGAGACACGGUCCAGACUCCUACGGGAGGCAGCAGUGGGGAAUAUUGGGCAAUGGGGGGAACCCUGACCCAGCGACGCCGCGUGAGGGACGAAGUCCUUCGGAUGUAACCUCUGUUGUGGGGAAGGAAGUCAGUGACGGUACCUCACGAGGAAGCCCGGCAAACUACGUGCCAGCAGCCGCGGUAACUAGUCUACG